rnacentral:sRNA from 1 species
AAGAAUGUCGGCCGCAGGGCCAGAGUGCCUGGGUUGAAUUCUAACUCUUAAAUUUGCUUGCUGUGUGCCUUGGAUCACUUUUCUCCAGAGAAUGCAAAUGACACGGCCAAGGAAACAUGCCUAAAUUGGUUUUUCAAGAUUGCCUCCAUCAGGGAACUCAUUCCAAGAUUUUACGUGGAGGCAUCCAUCCUGAAAUGUAACAAAUUCCUCUCCAAAACGGGAAUUUCAGAGUGCCUGCCCCGGUUGACAUGCAUGAUCAGAGGGAUCGGAGACCCGCUGGUGUCGGUUUAUGCCCGUGCCUACCUGUGCCGGCAGAGGCCAAAGUGUGUAUGCGUCGCCCACUGCUUGAAACCUGGGGGGGAUUUUCCAUCCAGAGAUAUCAGGUGGGAAUGGAAGUGGCCCCACAUCUCAAAGAAACCCUAAAUAAGAACUUUUUUGACUUCCUCCUUACGUUCAAACAG